rnacentral:rRNA from 1 species
UACGUAGGGUGCGAGCGUUAAUCGGAAUUACUGGGCGUAAAGCGUGCGCAGGCGGUUUUGUAAGUCAGAUGUGAAAGCCCCGGGCUUAACCUGGGAAUGGCAUUUGGGACUGCAAGGCUUGAGUGCGGCAGAGGAGACUGGAAUUCUUGGUGUAGCAGUGAAAUGCGUAGAUAUCGUAAGGAAGACCAGUGGCGAAGGCGGGUCUCUGGACAGUUCCUGACACUGAGGCACGAAGGCCAGGGGAGCAAACGGG